rnacentral:pre_miRNA from 1 species
AUGACAUCUUUCUGGGGCAAGACUUGCUUCAGUGGGGCUACGGUGCUCACUGAGUCUGUCCCCUUAGUGUGUCCUU